rnacentral:rRNA from 1 species
AUUGAACGCUGGCGGCAGGCCUAACACAUGCAAGUCGAGCGGAUGAAGGGAGCUUGCUCCUGGAUUCAGCGGCGGACGGGUGAGUAAUGCCUAGGAAUCUGCCUGGCAGUGGGGGAUAACGUCAGGAAACGGGCGCUAAUACCGCAUACGUGCUGAGGAAGAAAGUGGGGGAUCUUCGGACCUCACGCUAUCAGAUGAGCCUAGGUCGGAUUAGCUAGUUGGUGGGGUAAAGGCCUACCAAGGCGACGAUCCGUAACUGGUCUGAGAGGAUGAUCAGUCACACUGGAACUGAGACACGGUCCAGACUCCUACGGUAGGUAGCAGUGGGGAAUAUUGGACAAUGGGCGAAAGCCUGAUCCAGCCAUGCCGCGUGUGUGAAGAAUGUCUUCUGAUUGUAAAGCCCUUUAGGUUGGAAGGAAGUGCAGUAAGUUAAUACCUUGCUGUUUUGACGUUACCAACAGAAUAAGCACCGGCUAACUUCGUG